CUUCGGUGUCCGAGUUGUAAUUUGAAGAAGGUAACUUUGGAGUCAGCUCUUGUCUAUGUUCCUUGGAACAGGACGUCACAGAGGGUGAGAAUCCCGUGCGAUGAGAUGUCUGAUUCUAUGUAAAGUGCUUUCGAAGAGUCGAGUUGUUUGGGAAUGCAGCUCUAAGUGGGUGGUAAAUUCCAUCUAAAGCUAAAUAUUGGCGAGAGACCGAUAGCGAACAAGUACAGUGAUGGAAAGAUGAAAAGAACUUUGAAAAGAGAGUGAAAAAGUACGUGAAAUUGUUGAAAGGGAAGGGUUUGAGAUCAGACUUGGUAUUUUGUAUGUCUUGCUUUCGGGUGGGGCCUCUACAGUUUACUGGGCCAGCAUCGGUUUGGACGGUAGGAUAAUGACAUUGGAAUGUGGCACCACUUCGGUGGUGUGUUAUAGACUUUGUUGAUACUGCCUGUCUAGACCGAGGACUGCGUCUUUGACUAGGAUGCUGGCAUAAUGAUCUUAAACCGCCC
rnacentral:rRNA from 1 species